rnacentral:rRNA from 1 species
UGAGUACGAGAUGCUACGGCAUCGAAGCAGUCUAUGUCAUACUUCCAAGAAAAGCUUGCACUGUCAGAAACAGAUAAUGCCUGUACCAUAACCGACACAGGUGGGUAGGUAGAGUAUACUAAGGGGCGCGAGAUAACUCUCUCUAAGGAACUCGGCAAAAUGACUCCGUAACUUCGGGAGAAGGAGUGCCUUAUUUUUAAGGUUGCAAUAACAAGAUCCAAGCAACUGUUUACCAAAAACACAGGUCUCCGCUAAGUCGUAAGACGAUGUAUGGGGGCUGACGCCUGCCCAGUGCCAGAAGGUUAAAGAAGUCGGUUAGCAUUCGCGAAGCUGGUAACUGAAGCCCUGGUGAACGGCGGCCGUAACGAUAACGGUCCUAAGGUAGCGAAAUUCCUUGUCGGGUAAGUUCCGACCCGCACGAAAGGCGUAAUGAUUUGGAUACUGUCUCGGAGAGGGGCUCGGUGAAAUAGACUUGUCUGUGAAGAUGCGGACUACCUGCACCUGGACAGAAAGACCCUAUGAAGCUUUACUGUAACUUGAAAUUGAAAUUGGACUUUAUUUGCGCAGUAUAGGUGGGAGGCGUUGAAAAUAUUCUUGCGGGAAUAUUGGAGCCAUCAGUGAGAUACCACUCUUGUAAUGUUAGAUUUCUAACUUUAUAUCAUUAUCUGGUUAAAGAACAGUUUCAGGCGGGCAGUUUGACUGGGGCGGUCGCCUCCCAAAUGGUAACGGAGGCGCACAAAGGUUUCCUCUGAACGGGUAGAAAUCGUACCUAGAGUGUAAAGGCAUAAGGAAGCUUGACUGUGAGACCUACAAGUCGAGCAGGGACGAAAGUCGGUCUUAGUGAUCUGACGGUGCUGAGUGGAAAGGCCGUCACUCAACGGAUAAAAGUUACUCUAGGAUAACAGGCUGAUCUCCCCCAAGAGUUCACAUCGACGGGGAGGUUUGGCACCUCGAUGUCGGCUCAUCGCAUCCUGGGCGGUAGUACGUCCCAAGGGUUGGGCUGUUCGCCCAUGAAAGCGGUACGCGAGCUGGGUUCAGAACGUCGUGAGACAGUUCGGUCCAUAUCCGGUGUAGGCGUUAGAAUAUUGAGAGGAGCCUUCUUUAGUACGAGAGGACCGAGAAGGACAUACCUCUGGUGUACCAGUUAUCGUGCCAACGGUAAACGCUGGGUAGCUAUGUAUGGUGUGGAUAACCGCUGAAAGCAUCUAAGUGGGAAGCCCACCUCAAGAUAAG